ensembl:lncRNA
GGUGGAGGAGGAGGAGGUGCAGAGGAGGAGGGAGGCGGUGGAGGAGCAGCAGAGGAGGAGGCUGGAGGAGGAGCAGAAGCAGAGAGAGGAGGAGCAAAGGAGGAGACUGGAGGAGGCGAAGGGCCCCUCCCCUCCGUCAGAGAGCAACACCACGGAGAACUGCGUCAUGUUGGACGGCCCCCACCCCGGCUCCGCCCCCCCGCCGCAGGACGGGCGGCCGCUGCCCCCCCAGCCCAUGAGGAGGCGGGACAAACCCCAGGUCCCGGAGAAGCCCCAGGUCCCGGAGAAGCCCCAGGUCCCGGAGAAACCCCAGGUCCCGGAGAAACCCCGGAUCCCGGACAAACCCCGGGUCCCGGACCGGACCGCCGCCCCCCCGGAGACCCACUUCCUCCCCUCCUACGAGCGGCUGGAGGCCGACGACAAGAAACACAACAACAACAACAACAACAUGGUGGCCGACCUUCUCAUUGGUCACCAGCGACACGUGAUGACGGCGCCCGGAUCCAAGAUGGCGCCCUGACGGUAGAGCCGGAUGUAGCGUCCCUGCACUGAGCAUGCUCCAUGGCCUCCCGCGUUUACAAGACUACUGUGAGGAGCAGCGGACCGGAGGAGAGACACGACACGGUCUCACCCCACGACCUGUCUCUCCUACCCUAUCAACACACUCACUCACACAGAUACACACACACUCACACACACACACAGACUCACAGAUACUGACAUACACACACUCAAAGGUACUCACACACUCAAAGAUGCUCACACGCACACAUACACUCACAGAUGCACACACACACACACACACGCACACACACACACACACAUACACACAUACACACGCACACACACACACACACACACACACACACACACACACACACGCAAUCACAUUCACAGAUCCUCACACACUCAUUCACACACCCUCCAAACAGUCAUCCACACUCACACACACACACACACUCAAAGAUACACUCAAACACACACACACACACACACACACACACACACACACAAACUCUCACCCACACACACACACACACACACACACACACACACACACACACACACACACACACACACAGAUACCCAAGAUAGAAACGGCCAUUUCCAGUUUUCAUAACACAUGCCGUUGGUACUUAUCAUGAAUUGUCCGUCUACUAUAUCAGCGUGAAAUAAAGAGAGUAUUUUUAAUGGACCCUGGGGGGUUGGGGUGGGGGGGCUGCUUGUGUGUAUAUAGGAGCCCUCGUCCACAAACACGCUCCACACACGCUCCAGCGCUGGGGAGGGGGGUAUUUAUUUUUUUAGCCGCGCCAUUUUAAGUUCCCGACCCGGAGGGCAGACACUGCUCUCACCGCUCAACGUUUUAACACAAAGAAGAGAAAAAGUCUACAGAGAUGUGUACACACACACACACACACACACACACACACACACACACACACACACACACACGUCACAAGUGUCUGAAUGUCACCUAUUUAAAAGUUCUAUAUAUAUAAAUAUAUAUACGAAGAGAGAGAGAGAUGCUGACGGCGCCUCAUGCGGCUCUGGUCUGCACAGAGCUGAGUAUUUUGCCGAGGCGUUGUUUUAUUUAUAUUGCGUGGAGACGGCUCAGCCUCUAUAUCAAAGGUUUCAGCAAAAAAGACGUUUCAAUUAAAGACGUUUUGAGAAGACAUUUUUUUCCCUUUUUGUUUACGCCCGGGCGCGAAGAAGAGCGGCCAUCUUGAAGCGGUCGGCGUCUGUCGGUUUUUGCGUCCCGCCUCCACCGAUGGACAAUCAGAGACACCAGACUUAGAGACAACAGUCUCAUAGACACCAGACUCAGAGACACCAGACUCAGAGACACCAGUCUCAGAGACACCAGACUCAGAGACAACAGUCUCAGAGACAACAGACUCAGAGACAACAGUCUCAGAGACACCAGAUUCGGAGACACCAGACUCAGAGACACCAGUCUCAGACACCAGUCUCAGAGACACCAGACUCAGAGACACCAGACUCAGAGACACCAGACUCAGACACCAGACUCAGACACCAGACUCAGAGACACCAGACUCAGACACCAGACUCAGACACCAGACUCAGAGACACCAGACACAGAGACACCAGACUCAGAGACACCAGACUCAGAGACAUCAGACUCAGAGACACCAGACUCAGACGCACCAGACUCAGACACACCAGACUCAGACACCAGACUCAGAGACACCAGACUCAGAGACACCAGACUCAGAGACACCAGACUUGGAGACAAGAGACACCAGACUCAGAGACAUCAGACUUAGAGACACAAGACUCAGAGACACCAAACUUACCGACAAGAGACACCAGACUCAGAGACAUCAGACUCAGAGACACCAGACUCAGAGACACCAGACUCAGAAACACCAGACUUAGAGACAAGAGACACCAGACUCAGAGACAUCAGACUCAAAGACAUCACCGAGAGACUCAGAGAUACCAGACUCAGAAACACCAGACUCAGAGAUACCAGACUUAGAGACGAGACACCAGAGACACCAGUCUUAGAGACACCAGACUCAGCACAAAGCAAUACGGAGGUCCACGAACGAUGUACAAAAUGUAAAAAAAGUGUAAUUUAUGUACACGAUUAAACAAGCAGAGUGGAUAUUAUAACUAUAGAGGUUAUCAAUAUUAAUAUUAGUAUUAUUAGGAUCAAUAUGCAAAAUGUUCAUAUUCCAUCUGUUUUAUAUCAUGUGAAAUAAAUGUUGACAUUCUUAAAA